GUUUUGCGUAGGACGGUUAACGUAUAAAACCGAUUGCGAAGUUUAGCUCUUCGGUUUUGUUCAGCUGCUCAAAAUGACACUAUUAAAGUGUCAGCAUUGUGUUAGAGAGGAUAAAGCAGCAGAGGACACAGAUCAUGUGGAGAAAAUCUUGCCACCCGGCUACAGUCAUCUACUUUGUCAUUAUGAACUGCUGGAAAUGUCGGGGGAUAUUGAAAACUUCAGAGCAGCUCUUAAAUUGCAGAUGACUACUGAGGAGCAGGUCCAGAAGUGGUUGGAGGACUUCCAGAAGUCCUCAGCUUUAACAUGGAGGAAAUCCAGGACAUACCCUGACUCUGGACGCUACAACAAAUACAGAGUGGAUCUGAGAUGCCAGCACAAAACAUACAGUUCAUCAUCCAAAACGACCAAAAAUACCAACUGCCCUGCCACCAUGUUUCUGAUUCUCAAGAGAUUUAUGUAUGAAAGAAAGUCCAGAUCAGGAGACCCACACCUUGAAGAGGGCUAUUUCCUUCAUGUGAACUUGAGGAAUGAACAUAAUCAUAGACUGAACACAGCUGAGGCCAUGAGGUGGAGAGAUGUGUCGAAUGACACCAUUGAAAAGUUACAACAGCUCUACAAAAGCGGUCACUCUCCUUCAUCUGCACUCAAGAAUAUUAAAUACAGCCUGCAGGAAGAGGAAGGCGAUAACUACAUUUAUGCUACUGCGGACCGAUCCAUCUGCCCAGACCUUCAGUUCUGCUACAGGUCAGUCAAACUAGUUCAAAACACGUGUUUCAAACUCGUGUGUAAAUCUU
rnacentral:lncRNA from 1 species